AACGAACGCUGGCGGCAUGCCUAACACAUGCAAGUCGAACGAGACCUUCGGGUCUAGUGGCGCACGGGUGCGUAGCGCGUGGGAACCUGCCCUUAGGUUCGGAAUAACUCCCCGAAAGGGGUGCUAAUACCGGAUAAUGUCUUCGGACCAAAGAUUUAUCGCCUUUGGAUGGGCCCGCGUUGGAUUAGCUAGUUGGUAGGGUAAAAGCCUACCAAGGCGACGAUCCAUAGCUGGUCUGAGAGGAUGAUCAGCCACACUGGGACUGAGACACGGCCCAGACUCCUACGGGAGGCAGCAGUGGGGAAUAUUGGACAAUGGGCGAAAGCCUGAUCCAGCAAUGCCGCGUGAGUGAUGAAGGCCUUAGGGUUGUAAAGUUCUUUUACCCGGGAUGAUAAUGACAGUACCGGGAGAAUAAGCUCCGGCUAACUCCGUG
rnacentral:rRNA from 1 species